rfam:Salmo salar isolate Sally breed double haploid chromosome ssa15, whole genome shotgun sequence.
UUUGCACCAAUUUGUAAGUCGCUCUGGAUAAGAGCGUCUGCUAAAUGACGUAAA